UACAGAGGGUGCGAGCGUUGUCCGGAAUUACUGGGCGUAAAGCGUGCGUAGGUGGUUUGUUAAGUCUGAUGUGAAAGCCCUGGGCUCAACCUGGGAAUUGCAUUGGAUACUGGCAGGCUAGAGUGCGGUAGAGGGUAGUGGAAUUCCCGGUGUAGCAGUGAAAUGCGUAGAGAUCGGGAGGAACACCAGUGGCGAAGGCGACUACCUGGACCAGCACUGACACUGAGGCACGAAAGCGUGGGGAGCAAACAGG
rnacentral:rRNA from 1 species